AUAAUUAUAAUUAAAAAUUAUAAAACAUAUAAUUAUUUAAAAUAAAAAAUUAUUUUAAUAAAAAAUCUGAUUCAUUAAAUAAAACAAAAACAAAAAAUUCUAAAUCUUUCUCUCUCUCCCUCACCGUCUCUUCUCCUUCUUCUACCAUAUUGUUUUUGCAGAGGCACUUAAAAUUAAUAAAAAAAAUCAAUCUAGUUAUUAAACUGAUUGAAUAAAAAUUAAUAAACUUAAAAAUAAUUUUUUUUCUUCAAUCACUUCUGAAUCAGUUUAUUUUUUUUCUUCUCCUCCUCAGAUCUGGUAUCUGUUCACUUGAAACGAGCCUACUCCGACGUCAAACUCCCUCAGAUCUGGUCGAGAGAGUCGUCGAACGCCCAAGCCGAUGAACGACCCCCUCACACUUUGAAACCUCCUGAAGGCAGGACCUCGAGCCUCGAUCCGCUUCUCUCUCCUGGAUCUUGACGUUCAUGGGCCUAGAUCUGGUUGUUUCCUCUCUCUCUCACGAAGUUCUCUCCUUCGCAUCUCUGCUCAAGCUUUGAUGAACAUGGUGAUGGGUUGUUUCUUUUUUUGAAGGCACAGAGAGAGAGCGGCAGAGAGAGUUUCACAUGAUGCAUGCUGGUAUAGCAGAAGUAGCUGCUGCUAAGGCUCGGCUGUUUGUAAACAAGCCUGGUGGAAGUAUGUAGUUUCAUGUCCAAGCUGCAUAAUUACUUCUUAAAACAAAAUUUUGUAGUAUGAAAAAAAUGAAAUACAAGUAACAUAGUAAUUUGAAUGUU